AAUCAAGUUUAAUUAUUAGAUCAAUUAUCCAAUAAUUAAUUAUGGCCAAAUCCAAGUUCUAGAGUUUUCUCUAGAAAUAUCAUCAUUUCCACCUCCUUAAAAGAUUCUAGAAAUUUUCUAGAAUCAUCUUCCACCUCCUUAAACAUAAAAAUCUAGAUACUCUAAUAGAAUAAUCUAGAUAAUUUGAAUAAUGUAAUCUAGAUCUUAUGUAAGAACUCUCUAGACUUAGGAUUAAAAUAUUUUAGAUAUUUUGUAGUUUGGAGGCUAUAAAUACUUCCUCCCCCUCUCAAAUGUUGCAAUGUUGUGAAGUUGUAUUCAAGUUUAAAGCAAAGUAAUAAAAGUUCUAUUUCCUAAAAAACUCUCUCAAAACACUUAAACACUUUCUCCAUUACCUCUAAAAGAAUUUUACUCUAACAAAGUGGUAUCAGAGCUUGAAGAUCCUAAAGAUGGCGAGUAACAAUGUUCCCUUCCAAGUCCCGGUGCUCACAAAGAGCAACUAUGAUAAUUGGAGUCUACGAAUGAAGGCUAUCCUAGGAGCACAUGACGUGUGGGAGAUAGUCGAGAAAGGUUUCAUUGAACCGGAGAAUGAAGGUAGUCUUUCUCAAACUCAAAAAGAUGGUUUGAGAGACUCAAGAAAGAGAGACAAGAAAGCUCUCUGUCUAAUCUAUCAAGGAUUAGAUGAAGAUACGUUCGAGAAGGUCGUUGAAGCUACGUCGGCGAAAGAUGGUUUGGGAUUCUGAUUUUGAGUUUCCGUUGCAGUUAGGGUUUUAUAUU
rnacentral:sRNA from 1 species